GGGGUCUUAAUAUAUGUACUUGCUGUUCAAAACUUAAAAAUCUCAAGGAUAAAAAAAUACCUCUGAAUGCCCAGCAAGUUUUACAGUGCCCGGAACAUCACAGGUGCUUAAUCAACACUUACUGGAUUGCUGAUGAAUUAGUUCACUCUUUGUAGUUCUUCCUGAACUCUGGCUGGUUGGUUCAACUCAGCUGCUCCAACUCAAUACUCUUCUCCAACCUAGAGGAUUCAAACUGGUUUCUCUAAGCUUCUCGUUGAAUUGCUCUGCUUGGAAAAACUGCCUCUGAAUUCCACCAACUGAACUUCUCUGACUACACUGACUACAUGAGCUGAACUCAACUGCACCAAGCUAUUCUGGACUAAACUCCAUGGAACUGUUUAAAGAUGUAUAUUAAUCAUGUGUCUACACUCCAGCCAAAUCACAUAGACCUAAGUCAUUGGAUCUGUCCUCUUGCCAGAGCGGCUGUAUUGUUGAAUUCGAAUUCCUCUAUAAAAUCCACAU
rnacentral:lncRNA from 1 species